ANGNCCUGGCGGCAGGCCUAACACAUGCAAGUCGAGCGGAUGAGAGGAGCUUGCUCCUCGAUUCAGCGGCGGACGGGUGAGUAAUGCCUAGGAAUCUGCCUAGUAGUGGGGGACAACGUUUCGAAAGGAACGCUAAUACCGCAUACGUCCUACGGGAGAAAGUGGGGGAUCUUCGGACCUCACGCUAUUAGAUGAGCCUAGGUCGGAUUAGCUAGUUGGUAGGGUAAAGGCCUACCAAGGCGACGAUCCGUAACUGGUCUGAGAGGAUGAUCAGUCACACUGGAACUGAGACACGGUCCAGACUCCUACGGGAGGCAGCAGUGGGGAAUAUUGGACAAUGGGCGAAAGCCUGAUCCAGCCAUGCCGCGUGUGUGAAGAAGGCCCUCGGGUCGUAAAGCACUUUAAGUUGGGAGGAAGGGCUUACAGCGAAUACCUGUGAGUUUUGACGUUACCGACAGAAUAAGCACCGGCUAACUUCGUGCCAGCAGCCGCGGUAAUACGAAGGGUGCAAGCGUUAAUCGGAAUUCUGGGCGUAAAGCGCGCGUAGGUGGCUUGAUAAGUUGGAUGUGAAAUCCCCGGCUCAACCUGGGAACUGCAUCCAAAACUGUCUUGGCUAGAGUGCGGUANAGGGUAAGUGGAAUUUCCAGUGUAGCGGUGAAAUGCGUAAAUAUUGGAAGGAACACCNUGGCGAAGGCACUACCUGGACUGCCUUACCUGA
rnacentral:rRNA from 1 species